rnacentral:tRNA from 1 species
GCGGCCGUAGUCUAGUGGCAGGACCUUAGCCUUCCAAGCUAAUGACCCGGGUUCAAAUCCCGGCGGCCGCA